UGCAGGCAUUAAAGACCAUAAAUUUCCUUCCGAGUCCAGCUUAGCCACUUCUCCAGGUUUGGGGGAGGUGUUGAUAUACGGGAGUCGAUGGAUUCCAUCCGGGCAGCAGCGGCGUGUGGGCGGAAUGAGGUCCCUGGCCUGAGCCUCAGAGUGGUCCUCGGGGCCGGGGGGGCCUCGGAAAUCCAAUCCGGGGCACUUCACAGGAGACAGUGGGGCUGCAGCCGUUUCCCUGAGCUGGCUGAGGGGUCCCUGCCGAGAGACCGACAGGGCCACCAGGACUUCAACAGCAUCCUCUGACCCGCUCCUGCCCUGCUUUCCUACCCUCACAUGGCUUCCCAUUGCCCCAGGGGGGACUCCUGACAGUGGCCUCCAUGCGCCUCCCUGCCCAAGGGGGCAGCCUCCUCACCC
rnacentral:lncRNA from 1 species